UACGAAGGGAGCUAGCGUUGUUCGGAAUCACUGGGCGUAAAGCGCACGUAGGCGGAUUUGUCAGUCAGGGGUGAAAUCCCGGGGCUCAACCUCGGAACUGCCUUUGAUACAGCAAGUCUUGAGUUCGAGAGAGGUGGGUGGAAUUCCUAGUGUAGAGGUGAAAUUCGUAGAUAUUAGGAAGAACACCGGUGGCGAAGGCGGCCCACUGGCUCGAGUACUGACGCUGAGGUGCGAAAGCGUGGGGAGCAAACAGG
rnacentral:rRNA from 1 species